rnacentral:tRNA from 1 species
UAGAAUGUAGCUAAAAGUUAAAGCAUCUCCCUUACACCGAGAAGACACCCGUGCAAACCAGGUCACUCUAA